rnacentral:rRNA from 1 species
UACGAACUGUGCGAACGUUAUUCGGAAUCACUGGGCUUACAGGGUGCGUAGGCGGUCCGACAAGUCAGGUGUGAAAGCCCUCGGCUCAACCGAGGAACUGCGCUUGAAACUGUUGGGCUCGAGUCAGCUAGAGGUGCACGGAACUUCCAGUGGAGCGGGGAAAUGUGUUGAUAUGGGAAGGAACACCGGAGGCGAAAGCGGUGCACUGGGGCUGGUCUGACGCUGAGGCACGAAAGCCAGGGGAGCGAACGGG